rnacentral:rRNA from 1 species
UACGUAGGUGGCAAGCGUUAUCCGGAAUUAUUGGGCGUAAAGCGCUCGCAGGCGGUUUCUUAAGUCUGAUGUGAAAGCCCACGGCUCAACCGUGGAGGGUCAUUGGAAACUGGGAGACUUGAGUGCAGAAGAGGAGAGUGGAAUUCCACGUGUAGCGGUGAAAUGCGUAGAGAUGUGGAGGAACACCAGUGGCGAAGGCGACUCUUUGGCCUGUAACUGACGCUGAGGCGCGAAAGCGUGGGGAGCAAACAGG